AUGCUGGUGACAGCUGAGCUUGGAGAGUCCCAGAGCAGAACAGUAGUUCUCCAGCAGCCCGAGUCUGAGUCAGUGCAGCCAGGAGACUCUGUGCCUGACUCUGUGCAGUGUACAGUGCACACUGAGACCUGUGCAGGAGAACACAGUGUGUACUGGUUCAGACAGGCCUCAGGAGAGUCCCCUCCAGGAAUCAUUCACACCCACGGACACAGGAGUGAUGAGUGCCAGAGGAGCUCUGGGACUGUGUCUCCCACACAGAGCUGUGUCUACAACUUCCCCAAGAGGAACCUCAGCCUCUCUGAUGCUGGGACUUAUUACUGUGCUGUGGCCACCUGUGGGGAGAUCCUGUUUGGGAACGGGACUAAGCUGCAUGUUGAGGUGUCAAGAUGA